ACUUUAUUGAAACUUCGGUCGAUUUAAUUUAAUUCUAGUGGCGGACGGGUGAGUAACGCGUGGGUAACCUGCCUUGUACAGGGGGGAUAACAGUCAGAAAUGACUGCUAAUACCGCAUAAGCGCACAGGACCGCAUGGUCCGGUGUGAAAAACUCCGGUGGUAUAAGAUGGACCCGCGUUGGAUUAGCUUGUUGGUGGGGUAACGGCCUACCAAGGCGACGAUCCAUAGCCGGCCUGAGAGGGUGAACGGCCACAUUGGGACUGAGACACGGCCCAGACUCCUACGGGAGGCAGCAGUGGGGAAUAUUGCACAAUGGGGGAAACCCUGAUGCAGCGACGCCGCGUGAAGGAAGAAGUAUCUCGGUAUGUAAACUUCUAUCAGCAGGGAAGAAUUAGGACGGUACCUGACUAAGAAGCCCCGGCUAACUACGUGCCAGCAGCCGCGGUAACACGUAGGGGGCAAGCGUUAUCCGGAUUUACUGGGUGUAAAGGGAGCGUAGACGGAUGGACAAGUCUGAUGUGAAAGGCUGGGGCUCAAUCCCCGGGACUGCAUUGGAAACUGCCCGUCUUGAGUGCCGGAGAGGUAAGCGGAAUUCCUAGUGUAGCGGUGAUAUGCGUAGAUAUUAGGAGG
rnacentral:rRNA from 1 species